AACAUCGCCUGUGGUUCCGAAAGCGCCAAAGGAGUUGGCAGCGGCAAUGAAAGCAUCGUAUGUAUAGAAACCAUUGCCAGGGCAGUUAGCAUCGUUACGAUGCUUUAAUAUCUCAUUGAACAGGUCGCGGCUGAUAAGCGGACUGAUAUCAGCCAAGCCCCUUAAUGCAGAUGCCAAAACGAACAGAAUCAGAGCCAAGAACCUCAUUUUUUUUUUCUGCUUGGCUAGCUACUGAAGUGUUUUACGCGUGGGAUGUGGAGUCCCAUGUGAAGGAUCAGGCUGGUAUUUAUAGAGUGGGUCAGGAGAGAGAGAGAUCCUAACAAAACCUUAUUCUUCUUAAUAUUCUAGAGACGAAGGCGGCCUUUAUCUGUUAGGCUAAAAACCUCCAAUCCAAUCACACCAGCGGAAACGAAAUCAAACAAUAAAAUCAAACAGACAAGAGACAACAAUUUAACGUGGUUCGGUCCAACUGACCUAUAUUUACGGAUGAGAAACAAGAUUCACUAGUUGUAGAGAAUUACAAACUGACAUCAAAUCAUCAACCUCACUCAACAAUCAAUACUCAUAAGAUACUUUCAGUCUCCUCUAGUCCUAUUAAGUAUUCUCAAUCCAAACAAACCCAAACCCAAACCCAAACCCUUGUGCACCCUUUCAACAUAACCAAACACAUAACCAUAUGCUCCCAUACAUCAUACCUAUGUGGACCCUCUCAGUCUCCUUUAGUCCACUCAUAAAUAAACAUACACACCCAUAAGACGUAGAGCCCCAAUAUUUCUAUGGGGUGUCUAUCCCACAAAAUCCUAUAGCUCUCUUACAUCUUUUUCUCAUACCUAACCCUGUAGAGACUUCACGUAUUUAUAACCAUGCAAACUUGCCCAUUAAGAAUCACUCUCCUCUUAGAAUUCUUCUCCUGUAAGUCAAACUUGCCUAUUAAGAAUCCAUUUCCUUUUAGAAUUUUUCUCUUCUCUUGCAAGUCAAACUUACCUAUUAAGAAUCUUUUUUCUCUUAUAAUUAUUCUUUUGCAAGUCUUCUUGUCCAUCAAGCAAUAUCUGAAAAAUCUCAAACAAAUCGCAAACAAAUCUCUUACGAGAUUUGAGUCAUUAUUCCCAACAUUAUCAUCACAAAGUAGAAGUAUGAUGAUUGCUUGAAAGCUUGUAUACCUGACAAAUAUGAGAAAGGGCGAACAGGUAUCGUUCUUGGACCGUUUUCUUAGUCCAAGCUUAUCUUGACAUGACUUAACCAAGUUGGAAUAAGUUGAAAUUCCAUUUUGUUAGAAUUCAUAUGUUUUUGUCUCUGCAAGUGGCGUUGAUUGCAGAGAAAAUAUUCAAGCUGAGCAGCCCGAAAAAAGAAAACAAAUCUUAUCCUUGUCAGAUUACAAAAUUAAGAAAUAACAUGCAAAAACCUAGAUAGCUACGGAAGUACUUGAAGAAAAUGAGGCAGAGCAUCCAUUUUGGGAUAUACUUGAAGCUGGCCGGAUGAGUUUUAACACUAGUUCGACCGAUCUCUCCCUUACGAUAAUCUCCAAAUCCUGUUUUUAGAAUUAUAGAGCAAUUUUUUUCAUAUUACUGUUUAGUAGUAAACAAAUUAAACAUAAAAAGGCCAAAAGUUUUUCAAUUUAUAUAUCUUCAACCAUCCGAUUCUUUUAGUAAUUGCUUCAUAAGAUAAUGGACAAGUUAGAAGAAAUAACUACAUAUACAGAAUAAGAUUUCUUCAAUUGAGAGUUGAAACAGAGAAUAUCAAAAUUAGUAGGGUUAAUGUGUGAUUGAGCCCUUGAACUAUAUUAUUUCUUAUGAUUUUAUACAUAAAAUCUAUAUAUAAAAAUUCGACCUCCAAAAGUAUUAAUAGCGAUAAACUUAAAUACCCCUAUAAAUUUUUAAAUUAACAAAUUCAUCCUUAAAUAUAUAGCUUUUAUUAAUUUAUUUAAAUUUAAUUUAAAUCAACUAAAUUUUCAAAUAGAGUUUAUAUAAAAUUAAACUACUUAGAAUAUUUAAAUUUUAAUUUCAAAAGUGUUACAAGUUAUUGUCUAAAUAUUUUUAGUAAAUAUUUUUAUAAAGUCUAAUAUAAAUAAAUUUUUUUAUUACUAGACUUCUUUUUAUAAUUAGACUUAAAAAGUGUUAAAAAUAAUUGAUUAAAAUACCAUGGGUAAUUUUUUUUUAUAAAUUUUAAUUUAAAUGACUUUUUUAUUAAUUGACUUUUUUUUUUAUAAGUACAACGAUUUAUCACAUUAAAUGAAAAUAUAAAUAAAAUGAGAUUAAAACUUACUGUGAAUAAGAAUAAACAAUUAUAUAGAUUUUAUUUAUUUAAUUGUUGUACAAACAAUUUUAUAUAUAUAUAUAUAUAGUUUAUAUUGAUAACUAAAUUAAUUAAAAAUACUCAUAUUAAGUAGUUGAAGUGUAUUUGUUUUCUUCUUUUUUAUUUUUACCUUUCAAUUUUUUGUUCCAAUAUGUUAACUAUAUAUGUAUAUUAGUGAUUUUAUUAUUUAUAUGUUUUAUGAGUUGAUCAUUUAAUGAUUGAUAAUAUAAUUAAAUCUUUUUAGUCCCAUGAAAUAAUUCUUUAAUAUAUCAUUUUACAAUUUAGUUUGACAUCUAUAAUUAAUGUCUCUUUUGUAUUUUUUAUCUCUAGAAUUUUAUAAUUAUUAUUCUUAUGAAUCAAAAUUAAUAUCAAAUCAAAUGCAAAUCAAUUACAUCAUCUCUACCAACAUUAACAUUAUGUGAUUCAUUGAACAUUUUAAUUAGACUUUUCACAUUUAGAAUUAGAUGAUUCAGGAGGUUGCACAGCUACUAAUAACUCAAGAUUGGAUAUAUGUCAUAAGAAUUCGAUCCGUUAAAUUGUCAUAUAAAUUAUUCACCUUGAUUGAAACAAUAAUUGACAAUUUUCUCUCAACUCUCAUCUUAACAUGCAUAUAUAUGAUUAAUUUAUAUCUCAAGAUUAUUUAAUCUUUCUCAAUUGUAUUAAAUUACUUGCUUUUUUUUUUUUUUUUGCCAUCCAAGUGGUUAAAUAACCUCACAUGAAUUAUUCUAAACAAAAAAUUAUCAAAUGAAGUAAAAUUAAUCGUUUUUAGUAAAUUAUUUUGAAGUGUGACAAAAUUCAUUGGAAUUAUUUUUUGAAAGUGUUUAUGCCAAAAUUAUAUUCAUUUGUGAACAUUUAUGUUGUUAAUACUGAAAAAUGAUAUCAUUAUAAAUUAUAUAGGUAUUACAUAGCAAGUUUAUUAUUUUUAGAAAUGAAAAUUUCUUAAGAAAACAUGACAAGUACCAAGAUUAGGAAUGUAUUUUAUUUUAGUUUUUAAAAUUAUGUAUUUUAAUAUUUUUAUAUAGUAAAAAUUUAUGUGUAAUAAAAUUUUUAGAUAAAAAAAUUAAACUUUCAAUUGAUAGAACAUAAAACUACAUUCAAUUGAUGGAAGUAUCUAUGGAAGAUUAUUGUAAGCUGAAAAUUAGACAAAAAAUUGAUAGGAUGUGCAUAACUUUAUUUUUUUCAUAUGACAAAAAAUGUUAAUGCUACAUGUUGUUUCAAUAUGAAACUCUUUUAUUUGGAUAAAUAUUGUAUACUCCAUUAUUUUCUCUUUUAUAUCAAUUGACGAAUGUUCGCUGUUAUAUCAAAAUUUUUAAAGUUGCCAUAUUAGGUAAUAUUUGUUCAAAAAAAUUGAAAUUCAUCAAGUUAAUUAUCACUUUACAUUUAGAAUAAAAAAUUAUUAUAAAUUAUAAUUUAACUAAACUUAAAAGUGAUUUAAAGGCAUUUAUUAGCAAAAUUCAUUCGAUAAAUCUUUAUUUAAUUAUGCAUUUAGUAUUUCAAUUAUUUUGAAUUUUGAAUUUUUAUAAUUUUGAGUUAGAUUUUAGACUUUUGAUUAGCUCCCAAUUUGGUUGAAUCAAGUUUUAUUAUUUACUUUUAUUCAUAAUGUACUCAAUUAUUCACUUAUAAACCUAAACAAAUUUAACUUCAUAAUUGUUAUAUACUUCUUUUUGUUUAAAAAACUAGAUUUAUAUCAUUAUAAAUUUAAAUAAAAAAAGUAUAUUCAAUUACUUAUAAUUAUAGUUUCACUUUAGAAAUAAUCUUGAAAUUAAUUAACUAAUUCAACCAUAGAGACAAUAAAAAUUAACCGUUGAAGAUGAAGGGAAAAAACCUUAAAUAAGAAACUUUUAAAUUGUCAUGGAAGAUGAAUAAUUAAUUUUGAAUUUUGAUUGGGUUACUAUUUCAAUUCAAAUUUUGUUUAUAUUCAAUCAUUUUGGGUUUUAAAAAACUACUAGGUUGUUAACUUUUUAAAAUCAAUUGAAAUCAAAUGAAGUUAGUUUAUUUUUACAAUUAUAUGUAUAUUAUUUUUAAUUAAAUUAAAAAAUUAAAAUGAGUAAAAAUUUAAUUUCUAUUCUAUUUUAAUUUUAAAUUAUUUCAAGUUUGAGUUGAUUAAUCUAUGUUAUUUUAGUUAUACUUUUAUAAUAAUGGUAAUAAAUUUCAAAAUAUAAUGAUAACAUAACACAAUAAUAAUUUAAAUGUAAAAGUGAUGGAGAUUCCAUUGAUAAUUUUAGAAAAAAAAAUCUUUAUAUCCAAGUUUUACAGAGCUUAAAUGAUGUAUCUUUUUUUGAGAAUUUUUAAAUUUAUAUUACAAAAAUGUUAAUCUAGAUCAACGUGUUUAUAAUCAUUUAUUUGUUAAUCAAGUUAUUGCUAUAUGAGUUGAGGAAAAAAAUUCAAAACUUGCAAAUGAAAGAGAUCAUAUCAUAAUUCAAACUCAAGCAUGAAGACAACAUAGAAUUAAACAUUAUUUGGGUUAUUAUGUCCCGGUAUAAUAUUCUUUACUCUUUCCAAGUGAAGAAGUUAAUUGCCAUCAAAACAUCAAAAGAGUUAUUUUGAAUAAUAAUAAUAAUAAGAAUGACACAACAAUUAAAAAUAUAUAAUCUUUUGAUUUAUUAGAAGAAAUUUUUUAUGAAAAAUGUGAAAUAUUCUUUACUUUUUCCAAAUUGAGAUGUUGAUUAGCACCAAAAUAUUCAAAAAAAAAGUUAUUUUGAAUGAUAGUAAUAUGAAUGAAGCAACAAUUAAAAAUAUACUAUCUUUUCAUUUAAUAGAAGAAAUUUUUUAUAGAGGAUAUGAGAAAAUGAGAAAAUUAUCCACAAUCUCUAUAAAUUUUUUUGUAUGAUUAACUAUGGUUUAAAUAUUAUUUAAAAGAAAUAAAUUAUAUUUAAUGCAUUCUUUUAUUAAUAUUUAAAAGAAGACAACACAUUAAUUAUAUUUUUAAAAUCUAUAUUAUUUUAUUCCGUAUCAUUAAACCAAUCUUUUAAUGCAUAAAAAAAAGGACCAAUCUCUUAAAUGAAGUCGAAGAAAUUAUUGUACUUUUAUGUUAGUAAGGAAGUUUCAAAGAAAGGGACUUUUUUUUUUUAAGGAAAAUGGGAUUUAGAUAUUCUAAAUUAGUAUAAAUUAUGCGAUAAAAAUAUAAUAUACUAAAAAAUAAAAUUUAUGAUUAUUUUUAAAAUUUUAAAAUUUGUUAGAACUUUAUUUAAUUAACGAUGAAUUUGAAUUUUCUAAACAAAAUAAAAAGAAACUCAAACCAAUUUUCUUUUAAUAUAUUAUCUCUAAGACAUAAGUAUAUUGAAUUUUAACUAAAUUUCACAAUAUUUAAUUUUUCAUUAUGGCAAUUUGUAAAUAUACAUAUCAAACCAUAUAUUUAAUCUGCCUAUAAACAUGACAUAAGUGGAUUUUAUGUUAUAUUUUGACUUAGUCGUGUUGGAAACCCUUUCUUCAAAAAUAAAUAUUUGUUAAUGAAGUAUUGAUUUAAUGAUAAGAAAAAAAAUCUUAAAUUUUGAAGUUUUAAAUUUAAGUAUUACUAUUUGAAUUGUAUUUUAAUUUAUUAAUUAAUUAUUUAAUAAUUAUAACUAUAGACAUUCAAUUUGAUCUAGGUUCGGAUCAAUUAGGCCUGAUCCAAAUGGAUAGGCCCAUUUUUAUUUUUUAUUUUUAUUUUUUUCUCUAAAUUCUUAUUAUUUAUUAUUACUAUUAUUAUUUAUUAAUAUACAUAUAUAUUUAUUUAUUUAUUAACAUAUUAUAUAUUUUUUCUUAUUUAUUUUUAUUACUAUUUAUCUAUUAUUAUUAUUAUUAUUAUUUAUUAUGUUAUUUUUAUUUUUAUUUUUGUUUUUGUUUUUCUUUUUAUUCGGCUGGGAUUAGGAUAAAGAUUUAAAGUUCUACAGUGAAUUUGAAAUUCAAUUAGAGUCCAGAUUGGAUUAAAAGAUUGAAUCACAAUCCAAGAGGGAAUUAGGAUUGAUUAGAAUCUCUUCUGAUCAAUCCCUAUAAAUAGGUGUUGGAAUAGAACAAAAAAAGGACAUAGAGAAGAAGCAGAAGCUAAAAAAAGAUUUUGGUGCGUUAAAAUAGCUCUAGGAAUCGGUGGAAAGUUUUUUUAAAUUUUAGGAGAUUUUUUUUUUGGAAAUUUCUGAAAAAUUUCUAGAUUUCGGUUGAAUUUUUUGGCCAAGUUUAAAUUUUUCGAUGAAUUUUUUGGCACCGAUUGAAUUUUUUGGCUAGCUACUCAGUUUUUGGCAACUAUUUCCAAAAAUCGACCAACUUUUCGACGAACUUCCAACAAAAAAUUCAGAUUUUGGUGACAUUUUCCAGAAUUCGAUGAGAUUCAACUAGAGUUUUUUAUUUAUUUAGAGAGAGGAAUGAAGAAAGAAAGAGAAGAGAAAGAGAAAAAAUGAGAGAUUUGCGAAAAAAAACAAAGGUUAUAGCCUUUUAUACUUGCGAAAACGACGUCGUUUUGGCGUUACUGUUUCCAAAAGAUCGCACGUUUUGAAAUCGGGCGAUCCGACCCGAACGUUGACCUGCGUGUGACCCGAGUGCUAGCCCAACCCCGUAGUCGAGCCACCUUUUCUUCCUCAAGCCGAGCCGCUAAGCCGAGCCGUUUCAAGGUGUUUUUUUCAUUAUUUUAUUUUAUUAUUAUUAUUAUUAUUAUUAUUAUUAUUAUUUAUUGAUUAGAUUAGAAUUAUUUAGUAUUUUUAUUUUAUUUUUAUCUUUAUUUUUAUUUUUAUUUUAUUUUUUUCUUUAAAUAAAAUUCAAAAAAAAUAUUUUUAAGGAAAAGUUGAAAGUAUUAAUUUUUUUUGAAAAUAAGUUUUCUAAAAAAAUUUUUGAGAAAAAGUUGAAAGUAUCAAUUUUUCUUGAAAAUAAGUUUUCUAAAAAAUAUUUUUUGAGGAAAAGUUAAAAGUAUCAAUUUUUCUUGUACGAAAGCAAUGCGUUUUUUUUUUUAAGAGAAAAAUAUUUAUAUUUAAAGCUGAAUCAUUUUUUUUUUGUUUUAUUUCUUUUUCUUUUUGUUUUCUCGAAUUUUUUUAAUGUUAAAUAAUCCGAUGAUAAAGCUUCUACAAGUGAAACAAUAGUCUCCUUACAUGCUCUUGAGGUGAGAGAAUUUUUUUAAUUUUUUGCUAAAAGUAUUAGAGUUAAUUGAGAAUAAUUUUCAAUAGUUAAUUACUUGUUAAAUUUUUAAAGCUUAUUGGAUAACACAAAAUUAAGCUGGUACUAUCUUUUGAUGGGCAUUGUGAAAGUGCUAUAACAUUUCUUACACGUAACCGAACUCCCGAACCAUGUUUUGGUUAGUAAACCUGAACCUAUUCUUUUAGGGACCCUUAAACUUAGGUGUUCCUUGAAAGGAUAGAUUCCUUAGGUGACCAAUCGCACAUAGAUAAAAAAGAUUGGUGGCGACUCUUUAAGUUAAUGUCUAGCGAUGGAUCCCCAGAUCUAUACGUUAUGAUAACUUGGCGACUCCACUGGGUACGUCUGAGAGUUAGGCCAGCAAAUAAAUUUAUGUUAUCCAAAAGCCUAAUAAAAUUGAACCUUUUGUAUAGAUUUUUUUAUUCAUUCAUGUUUAUUUACUUUAUUAAUUAUGUCAUUCAUAUGCAUAUGCAUAACAUGAGCUCCAUACUUGAGCUCCGUCCCUCUAUAAGGGAGUAAAGUACCUAUUGUUUUCGUGAGAUUUAAUGCCUCCGUAGUGGCUAGCGAAAUACUUCCACUCAAAUUGAACCUUUUCUGCUUGUAGCCUAUAAUGGGUGAGGAUUAGGCUGCCUUACUAGUCUGUGAUGGACAAUGAUGUAAGGAGCAAUUUGGAAACCUUUAGACUUUAACCUCAAACCACAUAUAGUGAACCUUAAGAGUGCCUAACCUAUAGAUAGAGCCAUCAUUCUUCUCUUUUAGAAUUGAUCAAAAGCAUAGGGUUCAUUCCUCUUUGUGAUGUUUUAAUUUACUUAGUUAUCUAUUUAUUUUUUUUUUUUGGGUAUACUAACAUUUUCUCUCAUUUUUUUGCAUUGGUUCAUGCUCAUAUCAUAAAGUUGCAUAAAGAACAUUUGCUUGAAAGAGGGUCUUCAAAAAAAAUUUUUCAUGGACUCCACAGAAUGACUAGUUUAUUCUUCAUUUGUAUUAGCACCCUGUGAGUCACCCAACGAAGUAAGGAUCCAGUCAGAAAAGAUUCAACUAAAGAUGGAGGAUUGUUUACCAAUCAGAUAUGAUUCUACCUUAUCUCAAGAAACAUCUAUCCUCCUCAAAGAAAUUAAUUUAGAAGAUUUGGUUGAUAUAUGAAAGAAGAUGAGUCCAUCAAGACAAGAGCAGUUUUGCCAGAGACACAAGCAUAUAACACACCUUUUCGUAGUAGUUGUCGACGAUCAACUAAUUAGAGCUGCAGUCUAAUUCUGGGAUCCUGCAUACAAGUGUUUCAUCUUCAAUAAAGUUGAUAUGACACCAACCAUUGAAGAAUAUUCGAUUUUAUUGGGUUUGUACCUUAAGGUUCCUGAUAAGAUAUAUGUCAAAAAACAUAAGUCAAGAUUUCGUAAGGGUUUGGCUCAACUCAUAGGGAUAGACAAAGAAGUUGUGGAUUCUCAUACAAAGAAGAAACAAGAACAAGUUUGCCUACUUUGGAAGUUCUUUCAUGAGUUUCUAGUGCAACAUGCCAAUAAAUAAUGGGGGUUAGAUGUAUUGGCCUUAGCUAUAUAUGAAAUGGUGAAAUUUCCAAAAGUUUUGGGUUAUAUUGAGAUAGCGAUGGUUGACUUCUUCGAGAGUGUGAUCAAUGGUUGUAACCUUUCAAUGGUAAUAUUAGCAGAGACUAUCAGACCCUUCAACAGUAAUUAUGAACCUAUGUUGUAUCAGUAUGGGGAUAAUACAAUGGUCCCAUUUUUAGGUUUAUGGGAGCGACAAAUUAUGCACCACUCCUCGUGAGAAGGCAUUUUGGGGUAAAACAUUUCAUUCUUAUGAUGCAUAGGCUUCAUCAGUUAGAUUUCUCUUACAGUGAGCCAAAAGCAUUUCAGAGGAUGAAUGAGAUAUUAAAGCAUGGAAAAAUCCUCGAAUAGUGAGUCUUAGAUCGUUUACUGAUAAAGUCACUCUAGGGUAUUUGGUUUGGAGAGCAAAACGAAGAUAAAAAAUGGUAUUCACUUAUGAAAGCUUUCAACCACCAAUAAGAGGAAAGCUUGAAGAGACACCAUCAGAAUUAGAGCUUGUGAAAAAAGAGUUGGAGUCUGAAAAUGAUAAGUUAAAGUAAGAAAUCUAAAAGCUUCAAUAACAAAAAGAUCAGUGGAAAGAUAGAGCUGAAAGUCAUGAAGCCAGAGUUUGCAAGAUUGCUAGAGAACGUGAUAUAGCUAUUGAAGACUUAGCAGAGCUACACUAAGAACAUAAAAGGUUAUGUGUGAGAGAAAGGGCCGAAAAGAUAACCAUUGUUGAGCUAACAGAAGAGAAUGCAAGAUUGAAGCAAGAAUAUGCUAAAUUGGAAGAAGAAAGUACCUAAGUACAGACAAAGAAUAACAUGCUGAAUAGCUAUCUAAACAGGCUGAGACAAAAGUUGAAUGAACAAGAAGACCAUAUUGCUGCAUUAGUUAGAGAGCAUAGAGAGUUAUCAUACCAAGUCUAGUGUGGUAAAAAAAAAAACUUAGAAAGAUAGAAAUACAUUGAGCACCUAACGACCCAAAUUUGUAAAGAGGUAUGCAAGGUAAGAGAGAUGGUGAAAGAGACAGAAGCAUUGAAACAAGUGGUGACCCCAGUAAGAGAGCAUGUGCAACGUCUAUUAAACUUCAUUGAAGAAGCUAAGGCCUAGUAUGAAUAGAUCAAACAAUUUUAUAGUUAUAAUUUUAUGAUGAUAAACUCAAUAUAAAUAAAAGUUUUUUUGGAAUAAAUGAAAUCUUUUAGUUAAAUACCAUCUUAAGGUAAAUGUUCUUUGUAUACAUGUAUUUUCAUUCAUUGCAUUCUCACUCAUUACACUUAAGAAAGUAACUAUGAGAUAGUCAUAUAAAUUUGUGAAUUCUAAGAUAUGGUAUUCAAGGUUCAAGGAUAGCUCCAUCUAGCAAGAACCCUAUCCAUCGAUAUAACACAAAAGCCAGAGCCAGAUAAAUGGACAAGAAAAUUCUCAUAGAUUUGAAAAGUUGGAGAAAGCACAAGAAAAGAUUGAGAAUAAGUUGAGCAAGAUUCUAGAUGCUCUCAAUAAGCUGAACAAGGGAAAAAGAAUAGAAAAAAACAUAAGCCAACAAAGCCCUCCAUCACAAAAAGUGGCUGACUUUUUGUAUCCUUUAAGUUUUGGUCCACCUCAAGCCUAGUCUACACAAGAGGUCCCACCACAACACUUCGCAUAUCUUACAUAUUCUAGAAUGCCAUCAGCCUCAAAUCCAGGACAUUACCAUAGCUAUGUAAAUCCUGUCUUUACUAAAAAGGCAGUAAAACUGAUUCUUGAUCUAGAUGACUUACAAAAUAAGGAGAAAGAAAAAGUAAAAGUGACAGAGUCUCAGGAAGAUCUAAAGAUUAGUAUGCUUGAACAAAAGUUACGGGCUGUAGAAGAGAUUAGAUUUUAUGGUUCUGUUGAUGCUGCUGGACUGUGCUUAGUCUCGGAUGUAGUCAUUCCAGCAAAGUUUAAAGUACCAAAAUUUAAAAAAUAUGAUGGUAUGAAGUACCCCAAAACUCAUAUCAUCAUGUGUUGCCUGAAGAUGGCAGCCUAUGCCCGUAAUGAAAAACUAUUAAUGCAUGUUUUUUAAGAUAGCCUUACCGACUCUGCUGCCAGGUGGUAUAUCCAUAUGAACAGAACCCGCAUUCAUUCUUGGAGCGAUAUGGCUCAUGACUUCAUCAGUCAAUAUCGACAUAUUAUCGAUCUGGCUCUUGAUCGUUUAUCUUUAUAGAACUUGAAGGAAAAGGUAAAUAAGUCUUUUAAAGAAUACGCCCAGAGAUGGAGAGAUGUAGCUUCUCAAGUAUAACCUCCUCUGACUAAGAAAGAGACUACAGUGUUGUUUGUCAGCACUUUGAAAUCUUCAUAUUAUAAGAAGAUGAUAAGGAAUGCAAUAAAAAAUUUUAUUGAUACGAUAAUUUCGAGAGAAAUUAUGAAGAGUGCCAUCAAGAAUAGCAAGUUGGAAGGAGGUGAAGCAUCCAACAAAAGAAUCCCAAAGAAGAAAGAGAUUGAAGCUCAGGCUAUGAAUUUUGGUAUACAGUAAUUUGGGGGUUAUCAACCUUACUCACUACAAGGAUACCUUUCAUAUUACCCUACUAUAAAUAACACUUCUCUUUACCCAUACCAACCAUUUGUACAAUUAUCUUAUCUCUAAACAUAUCAACCUCCUCUUAGGCCUCAAAAUACCACAUAUAGUCCUAGCAUUCAGCCUACCCUAAGACCCCAAACUCUUCCAACUAGCCCAAUUAGUGGUUCACGAGAGUAACGAACUACUCACGAAAAAUUUGUAUUUGACCUAAUCUCAAUGACCUAAACAGAAUUAUAUCGUGAGUUUUAUAACAGUCAUCUGAUUACUCCAAGUAAAUUAGAGCCCCUCAAGCCACCUUAUCCUAAGUGAUAUGAUCCCACAGCCUAUUGUGACUAUCACUAUGAGAUUGUUGGUCACUCCACUAAAAAUUACAUCGUCUUGAAAUAUAAAGUACAAUGGUUGAUCAAUGAUGAAAUGAUUAGUUUUGAUAUAACAGGGGUGACUACACCAAAUGUUAGUGAUAAUCUUUUACCUAAUCAUAAUGUCAAUGUUUUGAGUAAAGAACAUGAGUGCCAUUUGAAGAAAAAACGGUAGACAUUAAGACACCUUUCAGUCAACUGUUUGAUAUUUUAUGAAAAGCUGACAUGAUACAACCAGUAAGUUCACACAGCUAUCAUGGAGUAUAUAUAACCGACACUAGUUGUAAAUAUCAUAGUGGGAAAAUAGGUCACUUUAUUAAAACUUGUGAGCAGUUUCACUAAGAGGUGCAAAAGCUCUUGGAUUCAUAUCAGAUGGAGUUACACGAAAGAGGAAAAGAUUUAAAAAAUGUUGAAGUGUCCAUGACUGAUAAGCCUGCAAAGCUGUUUUCAAAGCCAGUGAUAAUUCAUUGUAAGAACAAGCCAAAGUCAAUCAUAGACAAACUCAUUCCCAGGUCGAUAACUUUUAAAGUUCUGACUCCCUUCCUAUAUAAGGAUGACAAAGUUGUACCCUAGAAAUAUGGUUACGAUACAGUAGUUCAGAGGCAAGAAGGGGAUAUCUCUAAAGUUGAUGCCUUCAAUAUAACUGGUGUAAGAGGCAUUACCCGAAGUGAAAGGUGCUACACUCCAAAAAUAUUAAAGAAGGCUAGAAGAGAGAAAGCCAAAGAAAGAGAAGAACGAAAUAACUCUAAAGUAAAACUUGAGAAAGAUCGCCCGAAGCUAGUGUAAAAAAAAAAGCUUAUGAAUUCUUGAAGUUAGUAAAAUAUAGUGAGUAUUCAAUUGUUGAACUGUUGAACAAAAUGCCAGUAUGAAUCUCAUUACUAUCACUAUUUUUAAAUUCAGAGCCACACUGAAAUGCCCUGCUGAAAGUAUUAAAACAGGCAUAUGUGUCACAUAAUAUAUCUGUUAAAUAUGUGAACCAUCUGGCUAAAAAUCUAGUCAUGUCAAAUUAUAUUUUAUUCAGUGAUGAUGAGAUUCUUUUAGAGGAAAAAGAAAAUACCAAGGCUUUGCAUAUCACGAUCAAGUACAAGAGCCAUAUCAUAACCAAGGUCCUUAUUGAUAAUGGCUCCGUUAUCAACAUCAUGCCUAUGUCAACUUGGCAAGGUUACGCAUUGACUACUCUCAUAUGAAAGACAGUCAGAUGAUCGUGAGAGCUUUUAAAAGGACUAGAAAAGAAGUCUUGAGAGAUAUCGAAAUGUCUUUACAAAUUGGGCCGUGCACUUUUAAUGUGAAGUUUCAAGUGAUGGAUAUCUCUUCCUCUUACAACUGUCUACUGGGAAGGUCAUGGAUUCAUAUGACAGGCACUGUGCCCUCUACCUUGCACCAAAAGAUCAAGUUUAAUGUAGAAGGUCAAUUGGUAGUCGUAGUUGAAGAAGAAGACAUGCUAGUGACCCAACCGUCGAAUGCUCCGUAUGUAAAGGCUAUCGAAGAAGCAGUAGAAUACUCAUAUCGAUCUUUUGAAUUAGUUAAUUCUGUAAGUAAAAGACUUAAAAAUCAAUCUUUUUCAAGAAUAGUGAUGAGCUAAGUCAUCAAUAAGAGUUGGUAUCCAAGAUUAGGGUUAGGCAAGAACUUGCAAGGAAUAAAAGAACCCCCGACAGUGGUAGAUAAUAGUGAAAGAUUAGGCCUAGGCUAUGAAGUAGCAGAAUGAGAGAUCAAGAGAAGGCCAGCAGGUAAAAUAGCAAGAGUAAUGGUUAUUCCACACCUAUAUGAGACUUUUAAACUUGUAGGAUUCAUGCACCCAGAUACAAAAAAAAACAUAGAAAAAGCUUUUGCCCAGUUAACCAUUCAUGCUAUCGAAGAUAAAGUGGGGCUUAAUCAAGAAGGGUGGGUCCAUCUUUGUCCGCCAGAUUAUGAGCUGAACAAUUGGAGUGCCAUUGAAGUACCUUUGACCUUUGAAACUAAUUCAAUGUAAUUGUAACAUCCCAAUAGCUAUUGCCCAAGGCAUUGGGAUGAUCUUUUUUUUUUUUGGGUCAUUUAUCGUUUAUUAUUCUAAUAAAGAUUAGGAAGGAUACAUUUUCAUUUAUUUUUUCUUGUGUCUUCAUUAUUGCCACUUUUCCAAAUACAUCUUACUAACAUAUCCCAUUUCAUCCAAUUUCAAAUCCUUAAAUGAACAUGAAGAUAAUUAUGAUAACAAUCAAGAGGUUAGUUUUGAGAAUUCAAUUAACAUUGAUGAACUUGACAAUGAAGAGAAUUCUGAAGAAUAUGUUAUGCCUCCGGACCUAAUGAGAUUGAUUGAACAAGAAAAUAAGUCAAUUGAGCCUCAUCAGGAGAUAGUUGACUUAGUAAAUCUGAAAGAUAAAAAGAAUAAGAAAGAUGUCAGAAUUGGCACUUCACUUUCAUCAGAAGAUAGACAACGUUUAGUAGAUCUAUUUCAAGAAUUCAUAGAUGUAUUUACUUGGUCUUAUCAGGAUAUGCCAGGGCUGAGCACGGAGAUAGUAGAGCACAGAUUACCCCUAAAGUCAGAAUAUAAGCCGGUUCAGUAGAAAUUGAGGUGAAUGAAGCUUGAAAUACUACUAAAGAUAAAAAAAUAAGUGAAAAAAUAGUUUGAUGCAGGUUUUCUACAAGUGGCUAAGUAUCCAGAAUGGAUAGCCAAUAUAGUAUCAAUUUUUAAGAAAGAUAAAAAGGUACAAAUGUGUGUGGACUAUCAUGAUUUGAAUAGAGCUAGUCCAAAAGAUAACUUUCUUUUAUCUCAUAUUGACACACUGGUAGAUAACAUGGCUAGGCAUUUAAUUUUCUCCUUAUGGAUGGUUUCUCAAGAUAUAAUCAGAUAAAAAUGGUUACAGAUGAUAUGAAAAAGACCACUUUCGUGACUAUGUAAAAAUUUUUUUAUUACAAAGUCAUGUCUUUUGGGUUAAAGAAUGUUGGGGUAACAUAUCAAAGGGCUAUGGUAACACUCUUCUAUGACAUGAUGCAUAAAGAGAUUGAAGUGUAUAUAGACAAUAUGAUUGUAAAAUCUUACAAGAAUGAAAAUCAUAUCACCAGCCUCAAAAAGUUAUUUGAGAGAUUGAAAAGAUUCCAGCUUAAGUUAAACCCAGUCAAGUGCAUCUUUGAGGUAAAAUCAGAGAAGUUACUAGGCUUCAUGGUUAGUGAAAGAGGAAUUGAAGUCGAUCCAAACAAUGUACGACCAUUCAAAAUUUGUUACCUCCAAGUACACCAAAGAAAGUUCGAAGUUUUUUGGGAAGAUUGAAUUACAUUUCUCGAUUUAUCUUUUAGCUUACCUAUAAAUGUGAUCCCAUAUUUAAUCUUCUUCGCAAGAAUAAUCCUGAAAAAUGAGAUGAGGAAUGUCAAGUGGCUUUUGAUAAAAUUAAAUAAUACUUGUCAAAUCCUCCAGUGUUGGUGUCACCUGUUCUAAGAAAACCUUUAAUUUUAUACUUGACAGUGUGUGAGAAUUCAAUGAGAUGUGUGAUGGGGCAACAAGAUUAGUCUAGCUGAAAGGAAAGAGCUAUUUACUAUAUGAGUAAAAAAUUCACAGAAUAUGAAUCCAAGUAUUUCUCAUUAGAGAAAAUAUGUUGUGCAUUAGCGUGGACUGUCAAAAGACUCAAACAGUAUAUGCUUUAUCAUACCACAUGGCUCAUAGCAAAAUUGAAUCUAAUUAAAUACAUCUUCGAGAAACUUUAUUUGUCUGAAAAAAUUGCUAGAUGACAAGUAAUGCUCUCGAAAUAUGAUAUUAUAUAUGUAGCCAAAAGGUAAUAAAAAAAGGCGUUAUAGCAGAGUUUCUUGCAGAUCGUGCUAUUGAAGAAUAUGAAUCAAUAAGGUUAAAAUUUCUUGAUGAAGAUUUAAUGAUCAUUUCUCAACUGAAGAAGGGGAAACAUGAAGAAAAGUGUUGGAGAAUGUAUUUUGAUGGAGCUGCUAAUACCUUGAGACAUGAAAUUAGGGUGAUUCUGAUCUCUCCAAAAGAACAAUACUGCCUUGUAACAGCAAGGUUAAAUUUUAAUUGAACAAAUAACAUUGCUGAAUAUGAGGUAUGUGUCAUGGGCUUACAAAUUGCUAUAGAUAGAAGAGUAAAAGUAUUAAAAGUGUUUGGAGACUCAGCUCUAGUUAUAUGUUAGUUGAAAGAGGAAUGAGAGAUGAGAGAUUCAAAACUCGUUUCAUAUCAUAAGUAUAUUUUAGAAUUGAUAAAAAUAAUUUGAAGAUAUCUAAUUUGAUCAUUUACCUCGAUAAGAGAAUCUGAUUGUCGAUGCCUUGGCUACUCUGGUCGUAAUAAUUUGAAUUAAUGAUAAUACUGACAUUCAGCCCAUUAUGUUAGAUGUUAAGAAUAUGCCAGCUCAUUGCUCUAAUGUAGAAGAAGAAGAUAGAAAGCCCUACUAUUAUGAUAUCUUAUAGUAUAUUAAAGAUCAGUAAUACCCAGUUCAAGCAAUAAAAAAUGAUAAAAGAGUCAUCCGAAGAUUGGUUAUGAGUUUUUUCUUGGAUGGGGGUGUUCUGUACAAAAAAACCAUGAUCAAGUAUUACUAAAAUGCGUAAGUAAGACUGAAGCAAGAAAAAUCAUUGAAGAGGUACAUGAUGGAAUAUGUGAGGCACAUACCAGUGGAUACAUGAUGAUAAGAUAGAUCAUGAGAGCAAGACUAGUUGACAAUGGAGACUGAUUGCAUUAAUUAUGCUCGUAAGUGCCAUAAAUGCUAGAUAUAUGCUGAUAAGAUCUAUGCCCUGCCAUUUACUUUACAUGUUAUGGUACCAUCUUAGCCAUUCUCAAUAUGGGACAUAGAUGUCAUCAGUCCUAUCACGCCAAAGGCUUUUAAUGGGCAUAGAUUUAUUUUUGUGAUGAUAGAUUACUUCACAAAAUAGGUGGAGGUAGCAUCAUAUGCAAAUGUAACACGAUCUGUGAUUUGUAAGUUCAUAAAGGGAAAGAUUAUCUGUAGAUAUGGACUUUCGAAAAGAAUUAUUUUAGAUAAUGUCAAGAAUCUAAAUAGUAAGAUGAUGCAAGAAAUAUGUGCUCAAUACAAGAUCAAGCAUCAUAACUCGGUAUCAUACCAUCCGAAAAUGAAUGGAGCAGUGAAGGCAGCCAAUAAGAACAUAAAAAGAAUUCUUGAAAAGAUGACCGAGACUUAUAAAGAUUGACAUGAGAAGUUAGAUUGGAAGAAGUUGAAUGGAUUCAAGAACGCUAUGAAUAGUUAAAUUUCAUAGAAAAAAAGAGAUUAACUGUAUUAUGCCAUGGUCAGCCAUAUCAAAAAAGAAUGAUGAGGGCUCAUGACAAAAAGAUUUGACCUCAUUGCUUUCGAGAAAGAGAAUUGAUCUUGAAGAGAAUCCUCCCGACCCAGCACAGUAAUAGAGAAAAAGAGACUCUGAAUUGAGAAGGACCAUAUGUGAUAAACAGGUUUUCUCGGUUGGAGUGCUGAUACUAACUAAAAUAGAUGAAAAUGAUUUAUCUCAUCCUAUAAAUUUUGAUGCUGUGAAGAAGUAUUAUGUUUGAAAAAAAAAAGAGAAAAAAUGAAAUGAAAGAAAAAAAUGAAAAAAAGAAAAAAAAAGUGAAUGAAAAAGGAGGACUCAAGGCGAAAAUCCUAAAAUGGCGAUUUGAGUCAUAAGAGGUUUAUCUAAGUUGAAAAGCUAAAAAGGCAGCUUAGAUAAAGAGAAUACAACAUCAAAUUUAAAAAUUUGUUGGCAUGGAGACUAGCAAAUUCGAAGGAGCUCCAAGUUGUUAAGUGCAUUAGAUGGUUCAAUUUUCAGAAAAAUCUUGAAAUGUGUUAUCAUAAUUGUCCGAUUGUUCAUUUUUGGGCUUUGUUUCCGCAUACUUAUCCUUGUAAUUCUUUUUUGGCCAAAAUUUGCCAACAUUUUGCUAAUAAAAUAUAUUCUAUUUCACUCUUUGUGUACCUCUUCUGUUAAUUGUUUCCCAACCAUUCUUAUUCUUUUCUUUUAAUACCCUACAAUGGAAAAAAUGUGCAAAUGCAUUCUUACUUUUUGAGUUUGAAAUAAUGAUUGAUAAAUGAAUAAUGGCAUGAAAAAUUUUUACAUUACAUUGAAGAAGUCAAGAGUGAUAAAGGCAGAAUGAAGAUGUUUAGUUCCUAAUAAGGACAUUGAAUUUGGAAAGAGAUUUCUUACAGGAAAAAUGUGAGAAUGAGUGGAAGAGAUGAUUGAGAGCUACAAUAGCUCGAUCUUAGAAAAGCAGCGUAAUUUGGUCUUUGAAGAAUCAAGGUUUGGGGCCCAAGAAAAGAGCUUGAGAAACUUGAGUACCAUAUUUGAAUAAAAAUUAAUUAGCCAACAUUUGCAUAGCAUGCAUUAAAUUUCACAUGCAUUGCAUAGCAUAUACUACAUUCAAAAAAAUAUAGUGCAUAAAUUCAAGAAGCAGGGGUAUUCCAACAUCCCACAUAGAGAAGAUAGAUGUGAAGACAUUUUCAAAUUUGAGAAAAAGCUUGUCAGGUAAGUUUCUAAUCCUUGAAAUAGGAUGUCUCGUGGUAUUAGGGUUGAUUUGUAAGACCUUUGGGCAUAAUCUUCUGAAAUUCCUUCAAACACGAUUUUCAACUCCUUUGGAUAUGAUUGUCAAGAAACAAUUUAUUUUUCGAAGUUGUAAUGCCUCUGUUUAGAGGAAUAAUCUAUUUUCUGAAGUUGUUGAGCCUCUGCUUAGAGGAGCUUUAUUUAUUUUUUCAAAGUCGUUGAGCCCUUGCUCUCUGUUUAGAGGAGCUUUAUUUAUUUUUCUAAAAUCAUUGAGCCUCUAUUUAGAGGAGCUUUGUUUAUUUUUCUAAAAUCGUUGAGCCUCUGAUUAAAGAAGCCUUUUAUUUUUUAAAAGUCGUUAAGCCUUUGUUUAUAGGAGCUUUGUUUACUUUUCAAAAGUCGUUGAGCCUCUGUUUAGAGGAGCAAUUUAUUUUUUGAAGUUGUAAUGCCUCUGUUUAGAGGAGCAAUCUAUUUUUUGAAGUCGUUGAGCCUCUGUUUAGAGGAGUUUUAUUUAUUUUUCUGAAAUUGUUGAGCCUCUAUUUAGAGGAGCUUUAUUUAAUUUUUCAAAGUCGUUAAGCCUCUGCUUAGAGGAGCUUUAUUUAUUUUUCUAAAAUUGUUGACCUCUGUUUAGAAGAGCUUUGUUUAUUUUUCUGAAAUUGCUCAGCCUCUGAUUAGAGGAGCUUUGUUUAUAUUUUUCAAAGUUGUUGAGCCUUUGCUUAAAGGAGCUUUGAUCAAAUUUUAACAAGAAAAAAAAUGAAAAAAGAAAAGGCGAGUGGAGUCUUGAAUGGGUGUCUACGUCUUUACGCAAUUUCUGUUUCACAAAAAAUAUGCAAAGAGGGGCAGCUGUAGACACCUAAUUUGGUCCAUGCCUGGAUCAAUUGGGCCUAGUCCAAAUAGGUAGGGCCAUUUUUAUUUUUUAUUUUUUUUCUUAAAAAUUUUAUUAUUUAUUAAUAUACAUAUAUAUAUUUAUUAACAUAUAUUAUAUAUAUUUUUCUUAUUUAUUUUUAUUACUAUUUAUCUAUUAUUAUUAUUAUUUAUCUAUUAUUAUUAUUAUUUAUCUAUUAUAUUAUUUUAAUUUUUAUUUUUCUUUUUUCUUCUUAUUCGACUGGGAUUAGGAUAAAGAUUUAGAGUUCUACCGUAAAUUUGGGAUUCAAUCAAAGUCCAAAUUAGAUUCAAGGAUUGAAUCCCAAUCCAAGAGGGAACUGAGAUUGAUCAGAAAUUUUUCUGAUCAAUCCUUAUAAAUAGGUGCUAGAAUAGAACAGAAAAGGGACACACAGAGAAGAAACAGAAGCUAAAAAAGGGUUUUGGUGCGUUAGAACAACUUUAGGAAUCGGUGAGAAGUUUUUUUGAAUUUUAGGCAAUUUUUUUUUGGAAAUUUCUAGAAAAUUUCCAGAUUUCAGUUGAAUUUUCUGGCCAAGUUUAAAUUUUUCGGUGAAUUUUUUAGCACCGGUUGAAUUUCGGGCCAACUACCUAGUUUUCUGGCAACUAUUUUCAGAAACCGAUCAACUUUUCGACGAACUUUCAACGAAAAACCCAGAUUUUGAUGACAUUUUCCAGAAUCCGAUGAUAUUCAUCCGGAGUUCUUCGUCUAUUUAGAGAGAGGGAAGAGGAAAAUAAGGGAAGAGAGAGAGAAAAAAUGAGAGAUCUACUGAAAAACAGAGGUUAUAGCCUUUUAUACUUGCUGAAAAAUGACAUCGUUUUGGCGUUACUGUUCCUAAAGGAUCCGCGCGUUUUGAAAUCGGACGACUCGACCCGAGCGCUGACCCGUUUGUGACCCGAGUGCUAGUCGACCCUUGGAGCCAAGCCGUUCCAAGGUUGAUUUUUUUCAUUUUAUUUAUUUAUUUAUUUAUUAUUAUUAUUUAUUGAUUAAAUUAAAAUUAUUUAGUAUUUCUUAUUUUAUUUUAUUCUAUUUUUAUCUUUAUUUUUAUUUUUAUUUUAUUUAUUUUCUUUAAAUAAAAUUUUAAAAAAAUAGUUUUAAGGAAAAGUUGAAAGUAUCAAUUUUCCUUGAAAAUAAGUCUACAAAAAAAUAUAUUUUUAAGAAAAAAUUGAAAGUAUCAAUUUUUCUUGACAAUAAGUUUUUCUAAAAAAUAUUUUUGAGAAAAAGUUAAAAAUAUCAAUUUUCCUUAAAAAUAAGUUUUCUAAAAAAUAUUUUUGAGAACAAGUUAAAAGUAUCAAUUUUUCUUGAAAAUAAGUUUUCUAAAAAAUAUUUUUUGAAAAAAAAUUGAAAGUAUCAAUUUUUCUUGUACAAAAGCAAUGAGUUUUUUUUUUGAAAAGAAAAAGAUUUAUACUUAAAGCUGAAUCAUUUUUUUUCUUUUUUUGUUUUAUUUCUUUUCCUUUUUGUUUUUUUGAAUUUUCUUUAAUGUUAAAUAAUCCGACGAUAUAGCUUCUGUAAGUGAAACAAUAGUCUCAUUGUAUACUUUUGAGAUGAGAGAAUUUUUUUAAUUUUCUGCUAAAAGUAUUAGAGUCAAUUGAGAAUAAUUUCUAAUAGUUAAUUACUUGAUAAAUUUUUAAGGCUUAUUAGAUAACACAAAAUUAAGUUGGUACCAUCUUUCGAUGGGCGUUGUGAGGGUGCUAUAACCUUCUUUACACGUAACCGAACUCCUAAACCUUGUUCUGGUUAGUAUACCUGAACUUAUAUUUUUAGGGACCCUUAAGCUUAGGUGUUCCUAUAAAGGAUAAAUUCUUUAAGUGACCAAUCGCACCUACAUAAAAAAGAUCGACUACGACUCUUUAAGUAAAUAUCUAACGAUGUAUCCUUAGAUCUAUACGUUAUGAUAAUAACAUUAAAAAAAUUAAGAGAAUUAACACAUCAUACCAUCAAAAUAUUGAUCACCAAAUUAAGGACGAGCUCCUUUUAUUUAUUGAUAUUGAUAUUAUUCCAGAUCAACAAGGUAAAUAUCUCACAUACAUAUAUGAUGAUAUAUAUGUACUAGCAGCAGAUUUUUUUUUUAUUUUAAUAAUUAUAAUAAUGUGAUUGAUAAUUGCUUUUCUUUCAUAAUUAAUUAUUAAAGUGCCUAAGCAAAGGGCCUUUGAUUGUAGCAGUCGAGGUUGUUUCCGUAGCUCACUUUCAAUAUGUCACAAUAUCUCCUAUAGAAUCCGAUGCGAUCCUCAACCUGAGGGUUAGGUCCUUUGCCGCAUUCGAUGCCACCAUUGAUGAUGUUGGUAAUGACCCCAUAUCCAGGGACCCGACCGGCGGCCGUGUCUUCGGCGGAUGGCUUCCACUGACCACUAAUGACAUCGUGACACGAAGGUUUUGGUGACUGUGGUGUCAUCCAGAACCAAAGAGCUGUCUUGAAAGAAAUGGUCGGGUCCCUUGCCACCGCAUCGGGGUCGUUCAGCAGAUCAACGUUUAUUGCAUUUCCUGCUGGACCAUAGUUGUAGUUGCUGCCAAAGUCAAGGUCAAGGUCAAGUCAAGAUAUAGUAAGGAUUUUCAUUUUUCAACAAGCAAUUUUCCCCCCAUAUUCCCAGCUUUUUAAUCCUAUCAUAUUUUAUUAUUUUAAGUGUAAAAUAUGUUUUUAAAUUCAACGAACUUUCUAUUAAAAAGAUUAAACACACUAUGCUUAUGUUUGUGAUUAGUCAAUAUUUAUGCAUGGAAAAUGAAAACCAAAUGAGCUAUAUAUGCUUGUUGUUUAACAAAAAUGCCUUAAUAGUAAUUUUCUUGGGUCACAACUCUGAAUCUAGUUAAUUCACUCCAAACAAGUACACUUACUAUGAGAUCUGGAUUGGACCACGGCCAAAAUAUUUUUUACCCGGUGCACAAGGCCAUUGUUGACUUGCAACACAGUAAUCUCCAGGAUUGCCUUGUUCCUGAACGAAGCAAUAUCCCCAUGCGUAUGGACCAUCCGGUGCAGUUGCCCACCCACCUAUACAAGAAUUGUGAAGUACCCCUUUAAUUAUGCCGUCCAUUAACUAUUUGCCAACUAAAUAUUAAUGUCUGCCAACCAUUAACCACGCAUGCAAGAGUAAAGUUAUAGAGAUAAUAGAGACAAUCAAGAAGUUAAUUUUUUUUAAUGAGAAAAAUGAACCUGUAGUUUCGUGGGAAGUUUGAGCCAAGAACGCAGCAAUUUCUCUUUUACGAGUAUCAACGUCGCCUGUGGUUCCGAAAGCGCCAAAGGAGUUGGCAGCGGCAAUGAAAGCAUCGUAUGUAUAGAAACCAUUGCCAGGGCAGUUAGCAUCGUUACGAUGCUUUAAUAUCUCAUUGAACAGGUCGCGGCUGAUAAGCGGACUGAUAUCAGCCAAGCCCCUUAAUGCAGAUGCCAAAAUGAACAGAAUCAGAGCCAAGAACCUCAUUUUUUUUUCUGCUUGGCUAGCUACUGAAGUGUUUUAUGCGUGGGAUGUGGAGUCCCAUGUGAAGGAUCAGGCUGGUUUUUAUAGAGUGGGUCAGGAGAG
rnacentral:lncRNA from 1 species